CCCUGGGGCAAAGCCGCGAACGGGUGAGUAACACGUGGGUUACCUGCCCCGAUGACCGGGACAACCCGAGGAAACUCGGGCUAAUACCGGAUGUGCCCGCAAGGGGAAAGGAAGCUUCGGCCUCCGCAUCGGGAUGGGCCCGCGGCCCAUUAGCUUGUUGGUGAGGUAACGGCUCACCAAGGCUGCGAUGGGUAGCUGGUCUGAGAGGACGAUCAGCCACACUGGGACUGAGACACGGCCCAG
rnacentral:rRNA from 1 species